GAAAUGCAUGGCGUCGUAAUGAGUACAUAAUCAAUUAUGCAUUUCUUGUCAUGCUUUCUGUACUCUUUGUCAUGGUUGUUACAAAGGCAAAAUAGAGUGGAAAAUGCCAAUUGCCUUCUAGUUUUCAUAGCAAAAAUCUGACCAACUCUGUGCUGUCUCUUGGCCAGGCCGUUGGGAAGGAGCUUUGCCCGGCUGCUGCUGCAGGACACAGGGCGGCUGCACGGACAGACGCCACGGCUGUCAUGGAGUAAAUGCUCACAAACAUUGCGGUGAUGGGGAACCAGUUCUGAAACCUGCAGAAUUCCUCGCCAAAAUACCAGACGUUGUGACUGGCGUAAAUAAAAUUGAAGAUGGUAUUGAAAGCAGACAUCAGCAAAUCCGAAAGAGCCAAAUUAAUGAUGAGGUAAUUGGUAGCAGUCCUCAUUCUCCUGUGCGCAAGAAUAAUCCAGAUGAUGGUGACGUUGCCAACGAUGGAUGUGAUAACAAUGAAGGAAUAAGUGAUAGCCCACAAAGCGAUUUGCCAUCCUGGCUGGGUGAACUGGGUUACCGUUGUCCAAUUGCUACUGUCCUCGAGGGAGUCAGCCUGCGAAAUGUUGCUAGCAUUUAAAACGGAAAAUGUGCUCAUGGUUUUUUCUUCAGCUAAGUGUAAAAUAAAAUCUUCUGGCGUCUGUUCA